UACGUAGGGUGCGAGCGUUGUCCGGAAUUAUUGGGCGUAAAGAGCUUGUAGGCGGUUUGUCGCGUCUGCUGUGAAAAUCCGGGGCUCAACCCCGGACUUGCAGUGGGUACGGGCAGACUAGAGUGUGGUAGGGGAGACUGGAAUUCCUGGUGGAGCGGUGAAAUGCGCAGAUAUCAGGAGGAACACCCGUAGCGAAGGCGGCACUCUGGGCCGGAACUGACGCUGAGGAGCGAAAGCGUGGGGAGCGAACAGG
rnacentral:rRNA from 1 species